CCCACGGCUGACGCCGUGGGCUGCAUUCUUGUGCGCCGCUUCGCGGCU
rfam:Acidobacteriales bacterium 13_1_40CM_3_55_5 13_1_40cm_3_scaffold_76, whole genome shotgun sequence.